rnacentral:rRNA from 1 species
UACGUACUGUGCGAACGUUAUUCGGAAUCACUGGGCUUAAAGGGUGCGUAGGCGGCCAAUUUAAGUAGGGGUGUGAAAGGUUACGGCUCAACCGUGACAUUGCGCUCUAGACUGAUUGGCUCGAGUGAGAUAGGGGUGUGCGGAACUUCCAGUGGAGCGGUGAAAUGUGUUGAUAUUGGAAGGAACGCCGGUGGCGAAAGCGGCACACUGGGUCUUAACUGACGCUGAGGUGCGAAAGCGUGGG